CUACGGGUGGCAGCAGUGAGGAAUAUUGCACAAUGGGGGGAACCCUGAUGCAGCAACGCCGCGUGGAGGAUGACGCAUUUCGGUGUGUAAACUCCUUUUAUAUGUCAAGAAAAUGACGGUAGCAUAUGAAUAAGCACCGGCUAACUCCGUGCCAGCAGCCGCGGUAAUACGGGAGGGGCAAGCGUUACUCGGAAUCACUGGGCGUAAAGGACGCGUAGGCGGGUUGGAAAGUCAGGUGUGAAAUCCUACAGCUUAACUGUAGAACUGCACUUGAAACUGCUAAUCUAGAGUAUGGGAGGGGGAGAUGGAAUUAGUGGUGUAGGGGUAAAAUCCGUAGAUAUCACUAGGAAUACCUAAAGCGAAGGCGAUCUCCUGGAACAUUACUGACGCUAAGGCGUGAAAGCGUGGGGAGCAAACAGGAUUAGAUACCCGAGUAGUC
rnacentral:rRNA from 1 species